UACGUAGGGCGCAAGCGUUGUCCGGAAUUAUUGGGCGUAAAGAGCUCGUAGGCGGUUUGUCACGUCGGAUGUGAAAGCCCGGGGCUUAACCCCGGGUCUGCAUUCGAUACGGGCAGACUGGAGUGUGGUAGGGGAGAUCGGAAUUCCUAGUGUAGAGGUGAAAUUCGUAGAUAUCAGGAAGAACACCCGUGGCUAAGGCGGUUCUCUAGUACGGUACUGACGCUGAGACGCGAAAGCGUGGGGAGCGAACAGG
rnacentral:rRNA from 1 species